CCAAGGCUGUUCCUGCUCCAAAAUCAGGUGUGCUCAGUAACAAACACACGGCUCGGAGACCCUGGCUCCUGCAUUAGCUCAGCCAGUCCGAAGCACGGAGCGUUUCCCCCAGGCUGACUCUCCUCAUCCCGUUCCACCACCUGGUCCAGCCUCAGCAGCGGCUGAGAGCCGAGCUGGGUUUGACUCUUUGUUCCCAGAUGCCUUUUCUGGGUCUCACUCCCAAGCACACACUUUCGGCUUGGCACAGUGGUCUUUGCUUCCCUAUCCAGGGAAUUACAGCGGUCCCCAAACUUUAUUUCUGUUACCGUCAGGCUGUCAGCUCGCUCCACCAGCAGCAGCCAAGGACCGCACCAGCGUGGCGCAGCUGCGCCCAGGGCAGAGGCACCGAGGGACGCGCUUUGAUGCCCGUGUCCCCGCCGGUGACCGACACUCAGUGUCCCCUCGCAUCGCCGGGGCUGCCUGACCCUAGGGCAAGGUCACCGGGGCCACCUGCCCGGUGGAACCGGGCUGAGCCAGACCGUGCGGGAGCGGCAGCGCGGCUCGCUCGGCCCCGCUGGUGCCAGCCGAGCUGCCCGGGCAGCGGAGCAGCGCCCGGGGCACCGCUCCCGGCUGAACGCGCCCCGAGGCUCGGUCGCACCUGCCUCGGGGAAGGGCGAGCGGUCCCCGGGGCCGGCAGGCACAUCCCGGCUGCAAGGGCAUCCCGGGCAGCGCGGUUUUACCCCGGGGCGACCGGCCCGAGUCCAGCUGAAUGGGACGGAACCGAGCCAAGCCCAGCUCGGCUGAAUGGGAUCGAAGCGAGCCAAGCCCAGCUCAACUGAACGUGACCGAACCGAGCUGAGACGAGUCGAGCCAACCAGAACCGACCCCCAGCCCAUCCCAGACCCCAGCCCGACGCAGCCCAGCGCAGCCCCGUCCCCGCCGGGCGCCGCCCGCCCCCCGCCGCUCACCGGUGCGCGGCCACGGCGCGGCUCCGCAGAGACUCUCCACGUGCAUUUCAUCUACAGAGCACUUCAGCUUCAAAUGCUGCAGCCACAAACCCCUCACAUUUCACAGGAAAAAAACCUUCCACUCUCAACAGAAGAAACUUAUCAAGUACAACCCAUUGACCUCCUGCUUAUCAUUGUGGUUUCUUCCAUUUCCUGCCCACUUCAGCCUUUCCAAUUGCCAGUCUUUUCCAUUUAAAAUUUUAUUUAUAUCAUGAUGUCAUCCACAAUGAGCUGGGAAGAAGAAAGUCUUGGUGUAACGGCAGCAACCUCUUGAGCAAGAACAGUUGCAAAAGAGGAUGUCACACCACAUUAAUACCCUACAGCAAUAAACUAAAGAGAGACAUCCAUAAGAGAUUUUUUAUGAUCACAAGUAACUGUCUCACUUCUGGGAUUGUGCAGGUAAUGACACAAUCUGCUUAUUUAAUGAGCUCAAUGAUAUAUCUUGAAAAAAAAUGCUUUAUUGGGGGGGGUUUAUUGCUCUUGGGAUGGUGCAAUCCUCAUACCAAGGUCACCACAGAUGAACUUGUGACGUCAGGAGCGCAAACAACACAAGGAAAGUGGCACUGAGAUUUAUGGUAUUAAACAAUAAAAAAAAAAUUGAAUACAAAUAGAAACUAGAUAAGAAAUGCAGUGAACAGGAAAGAAUAGCAGGACAUCUCCUUUUAUUUGCCCACGGGCAGAACAGAGAUGUAUUGAGUGAGAUGUGUUUGUGUGAAGAGGAAGAGAAGAAUUAAAUGAUGAAAGAGAAAGAAAGAACAGUCCAAGCUGGAACACACACAAGGCAGGUAAAGGCAGGAAGGGCAGAAGCACCAUUGCUUGGAAAAGGUCAGCUGGACUUUCCAUCCCCUCCCCAGCCACCACUGUAAUUCCUUUCUACUUGCCAGGGUUUGCAAUGCUUCACAAUUGCUUCUAACUACUGGUGCACUGAUCUUUUCCACGAAGUCUGGGGUUAUGCUCAGCCUGCGCAACUCUGCACACAUGGAUCUUUUAUUGUGCUUAAAAAAGCUUAUUCAUUAAACUCUGCUUCUCU